rnacentral:rRNA from 1 species
CCUACGGGCGGCAGCAGUGGGGAAUAUUGGACAAUGGGCGAAAGCCUGAUCCAGCCAUGCCGCGUGUGUGAAGAAGGCCUUCGGGUUGUAAAGCACUUUCAGUGGGGAAGAAAGCCUUGGGGCUAAUACCCUCGAGGAUGGACAUCACCCACAGAAGAAGCACCGGCUAACUCCGUGCCAGCAGCCGCGGUAAUACGGAGGGUGCGAGCGUUAAUCGGAAUUACUGGGCGUAAAGCGCGCGUAGGCGGUCUGAUAAGCCGGUUGUGAAAGCCCCGGGCUCAACCUGGGAACGGCAUCCGGAACUGUCAGGCUAGAGUGCAGGAGAGGAAGGUAGAAUUCCCGGUGUAGCGGUGAAAUGCGUAGAGAUCGGGAGGAAUACCAGUGGCGAAGGCGGCCUUCUGGACUGACACUGACGCUGAGGUGCGAAAGCGUGGGUAGCAAACAGGAUUAGAUACCUGGUAGUC